rnacentral:rRNA from 1 species
UACAGAGACUGCAAGCGUUAUUCGGAUUCACUGGGCGUAAAGGGUGCGCAGGCGGCCAAGUGUGUGAGGCGUGAAAGCCCGGGGCUUAACCCCGGAAUUGCACCUCAAACUACAUGGCUAGAGCAUUGGAGAGGGUAGCAGAAUUCAUGGUGUAGCAGUGAAAUGCGUAGAUAUCAUGAGGAAUACCAGAGGCGAAGGCGGCUACCUGGACAAUUGCUGACACUCAGGCACGAAAGCGUGGGGAGCAAAAGGG